rnacentral:rRNA from 1 species
UAAGUAAGUGGUGGAAAUUAAACCAAAUGGGAUAUCUUUAGUAAUUGCGAAUGAACAAGGAUAUGCUUAGCUUGACAAAUGGAGCUAUUGGCUUUGAAUUGUAUUUGUGGAAUGUAUUACCAACAGAGGUGCAGGUGCCAGCCUAUUAAAUAAAGCGUCAAUGAGGGUGAGAAUCCUGUUUGUCAUGUGCAGCCCUUUGUGCACGGUGUAUAUUUGCUGAGUCACACUCCUUGGCAUUGGAAUGCAAAGUGGGUGGUAAGUUUCAUGUACAGGUAAACAUGCAAUUGAGACUGAUAGCACACAAGUACCAUGAGGGAAAUAUGAAAAGGACUUUGAAAAGAUAAUUAAAUGAGUUUGUAUUUGCUGAACACAAAGUAAACAGACUUGAUUUGCUUGGUGGGAGUGUUGCACUUGCUUGACAAGAGCUUUGGGCUGCGGGUGUAAUGAUUCUUUCUUUGCAUGCCAGUUUCUAUGUGUACAUCUGAUUACCUUUGCACAUGAAUGAUAAGUCUCCUGUGGGGGGUGGAUUGCAUGUGCAUGUAAUGAUUUGUGUUUUGAUAAAUGUGUCUGGUGUAUGUGUGUGUGUUCCUGUGCUUGGGGAUGCUUCCUUCCUUGGACUUACAAGCCCUGACACACACAUGCUGGCAAAAUGCUUCUGCUUGACCCG